AAACUCAAAGGAAUUGACGGGGCCCCGCACAAGCGGCGGAGCAUGCGGAUUAAUUCGAUGCAACGCGUAGAACCUUACCUGGGUUUGACAUGGAUCGGGAGUGCUCAGAGAUGGGUGUGCCUCUUUUGGGGUCGGUUCACAGGUGGUGCAUGGCUGUCGUCAGCUCGUGUCGUGAGAUGAUGGGUUAAGUCCCGCAACGAGCGCAACCCUUGUUCACUGUUGCCAGCACGUUAUGGUGGGGACUCAGUGGAGACCGCCGGGGUCAACUCGGAGGAAG
rnacentral:rRNA from 1 species